rnacentral:misc_RNA from 1 species
AACGCACAUUGCGCCCUUUGGUAUUCCUUAGGGCAUGCCUGUUCGAGCGUCAUCUAACCCCUCAAGCACCGCUUGAUGUUGGGCGCUGUCCCGCCGGCCCUCGCCGCGCGCGGACUCGCCUCGAAUCCAUUGGCCGCCAGCGUGCGGGCCGCGAGCGCAAGCACAGUUCGCGUCUCGUGGCCCGCCGCGCGGGCGCCCACAAAGCGCACAACCAACCAUUUUGACCUCGGAUCAGGUAGGGAUACCCGCUGAACUUAA